AUUUUCAAUUCAUCAUUUUCUCGAACAAGGAGCAGCUCUCCCUUCACCCUCUUCUUCUUCCACUUCCUCUUCUCAUCUCAGCAACCGUCACCUCCACCGGCGGCGGAAUCGGCUCCCGAUCUAUGACUACUAGUCGCACCUUCUCUGACUAUGGGCCGAUCGGGUCCGAGAGCUUCGGAACGGGAUCCUCUGUCCCGUACUCGUCAGAGGAGCUUCUCAGCGAGCCUGUGGGGGAGAAUAUCAGCUCUGAGCGGGAUAGUAUCUCCGUCACCAUUCGUUUUCGACCAUUGAGCGAUAGAGAGUAUCAAAGAGGAGAUGAAGUUGCUUGGUACCUUGAUGGCGAUACUAUGGUCAGGCACGAGUACAACACUUGUUCACUCUCUCACACUCUGCGAGAGAGGAGGAUGCGAGUGGGUGAGAAAUGCAGAUGCUUUAUACUUUGAUUCAAGACUGUAAAAUGCAGUUACAAUAUAGGCUGGCGGCAGUAUAAUGUCAGCUCAAUCAGGUUCUGUCUAGCUGGCUCCAUCGGAGAAGCUUUGGAGUUAGCUGGUGAUAUGAAUAUCAAGCAUGGAGUGGAGCCUGAUAAUGUGACGUACAAUAUCCUUGCGAAAGGGUGUCAUCUCCUCGGUAUGAUCAAAUGGGUUUGGGAGAUCAUUCAACAGAAGCAUUGGUACACAGGGGAAGGAAUGGACGAGAUGGAGUUAACAGAGGCAGAGAGCAACAUGAAUGAUCUUGUCUCAGAGUACCAACAGUACCAAGAAACAACUGCAGAUGAAGAAGGUGAGUACGAGGAUGAGGAAGAAGGAGAAUACCAACAAGAAGAGGAGUACUGAGAGUAAGCGUAUGUGAACUACUCCCACCCCCUUAUAAAGCAUAUCUCUAGUUAUUUGUUUUUAUUAAGGAAGCCUCAACUACGAGUUGCAGGUUUAUAUUGACAAAUUAUGGAUCCUGCUUGACUUAUGGUGUGCUGUUUGUGUACUUUAAUUUGGGAUUAUAAAUUUUAACAAGCAAUUAUUUUCAUAGGGAUUCUUAGAACAUUCCAA